AACUCAAAGGAAUUGAGCGGGGGCCCGCACAAGCGGUGGAGCAUGUGGUUUAAUUCGAAGCAACGCGAAGAACCUUACCAGGUCUUGACAUCCUUUGACCACUCUGGAGACAGAGCUUUCCCUUCGGGGACAAAGUGACAGGUGGUGCAUGGUUGUCGUCAGCUCGUGUCGUGAGAUGGUUGGUUAGUCCCGCAACGAGCGCAACCCUUGAUUUUAGUUGCCAGCAUUUAGUUGGGCACUCUAAAGUGACUGCCGGUGCAAGCCGGAGGAAGGUGGGGAUGACGUCAAAUCAUCAUGCCCCUUAUGACCUGGGCUACACACGUGCUACAAUGGAUAGUACAAAGGGUCGCGAAGCCGCGAGGUGGAGCUAAUCCCAUAAAACUAUUCUCAGUUCGGAUUGUAGGCUGCAACUCGCCUACAUGAAGCCGGAAUCGCUAGUAAUCGUGGAUCAGCAUGCCACGGUGAAUACGUUCCCGGGCCUUGUACACACCGCCCGUCACACCACGAGAGUUUGUAACACCCGAAGUCGG
rnacentral:rRNA from 1 species